CCUUUAGAAGAUCAAAAACUUUCUCACAAGUGUAUUUCUGUUGUAUGCUUGCACCCCUUUGUUGCAAUUUAUCAGGAUGAACAAAAAGAGUGGCUUUGCGGUAAGCUUUCUUCACAGCUGCAGCUGAUAUAAGAUCUGUCAGAGGAAUUGGCUGCCAACCGCUAUCAGGGCCCAAAAUGUAUUGUAGUGUUGAGAGCAGGGCACGCAAAUUCUUCUCCUUUCCACUGGACCAUCCUUUAACACCAGCAUCCAAAGUUUCUGCUAAUCUAUUUCUCUCAGCUUGUUCUUUCUGAGCGAGAAGAUCACGCAUAUUCUUCUCCGCAAGAGCUUUUGCCGCUCGUUCCGCUGUCCUUUGAUUCCUUGCUAAUGUAGCUUUACACCUUUCAGCUGAUUCACCAUUAGCACUGCUAAAUCUCUCAUCAUGAUUUGAAGUACUUGGAUAAUUAGAACUGUUGGAAGGACCCGGACCUUUAUAUUGUUGAUCCCUGGAUUUUAUUCCAGCAUCUCUUGAAGUGCCAGAAUACUUCUCAGCUUGAUUUCUGGCCUUAAAGGAAGCUUUCUCAGACAAUGCCUUUUCCAGGGCACGUUUCCUGGCCUCUGCAGUUGCUCUCUCAACAGCAGCCCUCUCUGCCUUUAGUUUGGCUUCCAUAGAUGCUUUCUCUGCUGCUGACUUACCAUUACCCUCUGCACAAGCCUUCUCUAAGCUUUCUCGGGCCUCUGCCAUUACUCUUUGGUGAGCUCCUGCAGCCGCUCUUUCUGCAGCAGCCUUUUCUGCCCUUUCUCGAGCUUCAGCAAAAGCCCUUUCACGAGCUUCUCGGAUUGCUCUUUCUACAGCUAUCCUCUCCUUUUCCUUUUCCAUUUCCCUCACUUUUGCUUCUUCCUUUCUCCCAUGAUGUUUCUUUUCCAACUCCACUUCCUUUUGCAAAUUAUCUUCAGCUUCCCUCUUUUCUCCUGUCAGAGUUUCAUCAUUCUUCUCCUUUUUAUCAGUGUUUUGGUUUGCUCUCUCCUGUGAUACUCCCAUCAUCGUUCUUUCCCCCUCAAAAAUAUUUGGCUGCUGACUUGCUUGCACGUCAAUCAUAUUAUUUAUCCAGUUUUCCUCAGAAGAAGAUUCAAAAUAUGUCUCUUCACCAUGAUUAGUAGGAACUUCAGAGUCCUUCACAUCCUUGUUAUUUUCUCCCAAUUCACAGUCUGCUUCUUUGAAAUGCUUUACUGAGUCUGGCUUGGAAUCUAUCCCAUUAACUGACCAUCUUUCCUCAUGAGAAGAUACAAAAUUACUCUCAUUUUCUUCAUAAAUGCGGCCAAUUUCAGACUCACUGUCAUCCUUAUCAUUUUCAUCCAAUUGAAAAGUUACUUCUUCAGUAUUCUUUUCCAGUUCACAGAUUCUCUCAUACUCUGCCACAGGAAAUUCAUUUAGCUUGUGAUCAAGGUUCACAUCAGUUUCACCUAAAUACACAUCUGUCGUUUGCUUAAUAAUCACAUCAAAACCAGUGAGACCUUGCUCUGGAUCACCAGUUCCAAAGUUCUCUUCUUCCACCAGGUCAUUUGCCUCUUCAGCUGCUUCUGAACCUUUUCCGGUCUCCUUAGGAAAGGAAUCUUCACUCAUGUCCAUCAUCUUCCUAUUCUUUUCAAGUGCAAAUAUCUCUGCAGUUACUUUCACAUGUUCAAAUCUUUCUUGAUCCCCAUAGUCAUUGGCUUCAUCAGCUUUGCCUGCAUUCUCAUUUUCAUCUAGCUCGUACACAUCAUUAUUUGCUUCAAGAUUGUUCUCCUGGUAUCUAAAAGCCUGUUGAGUUGCUUCUAAAUUGCUCUCAUCUUCUGCGCUCCGAUGAAUCUGUGGCUGUAUGCUCUCAGUUUCAAACACUUCACAAGUCCUUUCUUUAGCUGAUUCGUUCAUCAGAGAAUCCUCUUUGAGCAUCUCCUCAUCCUGUUUGGUCUCUUUCAGGUUCUCAGUGCCUGUUGUUCCACAAUCCUCUCCAAGCAUCUUCUCACUUCCAUCCUUGUCACAAACUUGAACAAACUUCUCAGCAUCCUCUGUCUUGGCAACACCUAGUUUCUUCUCAUUUUCUUCCCAAAAUGGAGCCUCUUGUUGUUUCAUUUCACUUCUUACCCUCUCCAAAUCUUCUUCCUGUCCCUUCUCAUUUUCUCUAUAGCUAUGAAUUUCAUCUACUCUACUCUCAUUCUCCUGUCUCACCGGAACUUCAUUUGAUCGGCUCUCCAUUUCCUCUUGAUUGUGUGCCUCUCUUUGUUUCUUCUCAAUUUUCAUCCAAUUCUGAGCCUCUUUUAGUUCCUUCAUAUCUUUAUUCUCAUCCAAAUCUUGGAUUUCAAAUUCUGGAUUUUCUUCUGGUUCAUGCAGCUUUUUCACUGUGCUCUCAAUUUCUUCUUGUUCACAGGGCACUCUAGGACUAGGAGUUAGAUCAGCUUCUUCAUGCUCAUAAACAACCCUGAUUUUCUCUUCAUUUUCUAUGUGACGAUCAAGCUCUUCAGUUGACUUGAUAUUGUUUCUGUACACAUUCCAUUCAUAUGCUGCUUCCACUGAAUGUAGUUCCCUCUUUAUCUUCUCCUGCUUAGGGGCCUUCUCAUUAUUAUCACACUCCACUGGCUUCUCAAUGUUUUCCUCUCCUGUCAUCUUCUCCUUGCAUUUAUUUUCAUUAGCAGAUGGAUUCAUUUUCUUGUCAUUGUUUGCCUGCUCAACCUCCAAUGUCAUUGCCCUGUGUUCACUGGUAUCAUCAGGUUUAUUUGCUUUCCUGCUUUCUGCUUCCACCCUAUUAUCCACUUGAGCCAAUUUGGAUUCUGUGCUGUUUGUUUCUCCAACAGCAUUUUUCGUAGGAGAUGAUGUCUUUGCAUUUCCAAAUUCUGAGGUUACAUGGCUUGCUUCUGUUGCAUUGUGCUCUGGUAAGCUGGUGAAAUCUUGCUUUGGAGUAUAAAAUUUCUGAACCAUUUCCUUGGCCUCCUCUAUGGAUCUAUUUUCUUUUUCUGCAACUUUAACCUCCCUUUUUUUAUCUUUCAAGCCAUCAUUAAAUCUUGGUCUCACACGAUUUUGAAGACGGACCUUUCUUUCCAUCAAUUCUUUGGCUAUUUUAAUCUUUGCUUGAGCCUCCUCUAUCGCCUUCCUCACAGCAGCUACAGAGGCAGCUGCAGCCGAAUUAGCAUCUAUUUCCUCAUCAAAUAAAGGUGGUGAAUAACUACCAGUAGCACCUUCAGAAGCAUCAUUACUAAAAACCCCAAACUUCGAAUUCAUUGACCUCAUGGAGCCAUCCCUAUUUUUACCUAAAUUAGGAAACGGGCCUAGAGGUGACACUGUUGAUGGCUGUGUGCCAAGGCCAAUUUCAAAUGCAUCAAAUGAUAUAUCAUUUGAAAAGGAUCUAUUCCUGCUGGAUUUUGUAAAGUUGGCAUGAUUUUUAGAAUUGUUUUUAGCAGAAUCUCUGGGUUGUGGGCCUGACACAACUUUCCGGAGAGGUUUGCUUUGCCUUAUCCCCUCACUGACAUUAACAUUUAGAUAAGCAUCAUUUAAUACUGUGCGUACUCGCUUGUCACCUUCAGUCAUCUGCGAGGGAGUGAUUUCAUCUAUCAAACAAGUAUAACCAGGAAUGGUGUUGAGCUGAGCAAUAUGUGUCAUUCUAUUUGUCCCAGUUUUGCUUUCUGGGUUGCUUUUAUCAUAUGAAAGGUUGAUUUGUUUCCCACCAUCAAGUGAUUGGAAAGAUACUUCAGCUGAUGGAGCUUUCUUCUGUUCUGAAACAUUAAAAUGCUCUGGUCCUGCUGGGCAGAACUUUGCUUUAGCUGCAGCCCGAGCUUCCUGAGACGAAUUCUUCACUUUCUUUGGUUUUGAAAACAAUUGCUCAUAGGGCACAGCAAAAUCUGUCUCUGCAAAACCACCAAAAAUCCUCGAGUAGUCUGGCUUCGAACUCCGCGCGUCCACAGAAGCCUUUCUGUCCUUCAGCUCCGGGAAAUCGAGAACCGGAAUGGAACAAGCACUAGAGCCACCAAAUAUCUCUCUGUAAUCCUCCAUUCGAGACCCAGGCUUGGACACACAACCAAAAAUGCCGUCGUACACGUGCUUUCCAGCUAAGACUCCACCGUUAGGGAGCUUAUUGGAGAAAGCUGUAGCAGAGGAAGAUUGGUGAUACUCCAUUAAGGAGGGAACAAAGAGAGAUUAUUUAGGGUUUACGCGAUUGGUUUUUCCUUCUCUUCUUUCUCCUUCCCUAUGUCUGGUUUUUCUCUGCGUAGGAAAAAAAAAAUUGCAGAGUCAGACACGAUAGAGAGAAAGAAAGAAGAGAAACACGGACAAAAUAAUACCGAGAAAAUGGAAGACGAGAAAUUGAAAUUAAAAAUGCCAGUGCAGCCAGAGACUAGUGUUGAAUCAGCGAUUUUUAAGUUGACGAUCAAUGGAGGCAAAAAGAUCGGCCGUUGGCUGCGAUUGGCGGGUCACUGGCAGAGCCGGUGAGUGACAAAAUCGAAAAUCGAAGAUAGUAAUUGGCUUGCUGAUUAGCGUCAAGCUGUCAGCAAUCAGCGAUACCAACAUAGGGGUAGUUUCGGCAUUAUGCAAAAUAGUAUAGGGGUUUCCGGGAAGU
rnacentral:misc_RNA from 1 species